rnacentral:piRNA from 1 species
UNGCAGGGUUAGUCAAGGCAGCAGG